rnacentral:tRNA from 1 species
GAGCCCGUAGCUCAAUGUUUAGGGCGUUGGACUUCUAAUCAACCGGUCCCGGGUUUGAGCCCCGGUUGACGCA